GCACAUUGCUGUGUAUGUGGCCAGGUACUUGCAACAGUCCUUUUCUGUAUCUUCAAAUGUGUCCGGUCAGACAAACAAUCAGGUUCGACUAAUAGUUAUCAUGCCAGGGAGUCAGAGACCACAAUUCAUGUGUGGACUACGAAACAUAAUAAUAGGAUGUACCUUGGUCAUUUUCUCCUUCACAUUUGUUGCUCAAGGAAUACUUGGUAAGCAAGAGAUACUGUUAUUGCAAUGUUCAGAUCAGAUUCAUUCAAAUGUAUUUUUAUA